rnacentral:sRNA from 1 species
CUGCUGAGGACAUAUAAAGUGAAUAUGAGAGUCUAUACCCCCUGCCGUCACAAUCAUACCCUCUCCUGCAAGCGCCUCUGUUGAUGCUCCCACUGUCAUUCCCGGAGUAACAUUUUCCAUAAUAUCAGGAUUUCCUGCAUGACCUAUUGCUGAUAUUUUGCCAUUUUUAAUGCCUAUAUCUGCCUUGUAUAUACCUGUGUAAUCUACAAUUAAGGCAUUUGUAAUAACAAGGUCAAGGUCGCCGUCAGCUGAUGUGGAAUUUACACUUUGUCCCAUACCGUCCCU